AGAGAAUCAAAUGAAACAGUAGUACAUUCAGUGCAGACUAGUAGCGAUAUGAACUAUCCACAGCUCUUUUUAUGCGUUCUAAUAGUAGUCUCUAUCAUUCCAAAUGUAACCACUAGUAGUGCUCCUUGUCUAGGAUGCCAAGUACUACCAUGCUACUGCAGAAAACGUUUAAUGUUACUAAAGAGGUUGCAAAAUGAAGAAAAUGUGGACGACGUUUGUGCCGUGGCAAGAAGUUUGAAAUGUGUACUUAAACCGUCAGRUGACUUAAUUAACAAGCGAUUUGGUCAUCACUUGGGUCAAUGAUUAUGAUCAAAGAAACGAUGCUGAUUCUUAUGAUAAUGAAAACAACACUUUAGUAAUUACGAUACAAACUUGGGUUUGCUUGAUAUACAACUAUAAUGGAAACAGGUUCACAAAUUCUCAAUUAAAUAAAUGAUAAAAGUGGAUUUUUAUGGGAAAAUACACCAUUAGUGUGAAUAUUUUCACUAAUAAAACACAGAUUAGCUUGUGGCCUAAUUAUACCGUUGUCAAGUAUUUAAUGGGAACAUCCCAGUGUCAAUAAAGUUCAUUAGAAAAUAA